rnacentral:lncRNA from 1 species
AUUUUUUAAAAUAUUUUCAACAUUCUUUAUAUUUUUUUCAUAAUUACAAAUUAUUUUUUUAUGUAUUUUUAUGAUUCACAAACACUGAAUCGGAUUAAUUAUUUUUACAUAAUAUAAUACAAAAUAAAAAAAGGGGAGACAAACAACAUAAAAUAAGGGCAUCCAUAAGAUAUAUUGACACCUUUUUCCUUAAAUAUAUACACCACACAAUUACACACACUAUACACACACAAACACAUGCAUAAUCUACACCCGAAAAAUCUGAUCUCCCUUUCUCACUCAAUCUCAUGUCCCUCUCUCUCUCUUUUCUUCUCUCUAAGAAACCACAGCCUCAUCACCACCGGCGAACCAUCGUGAAGCCUUCUCCUUCCCUUACUUGCCAUACCCCUCAAAUCUCCAUCGCUGUCACUCCACCCGGCAAAACACCGACGCCUCAAGCGGCCAGCCACUAGUCCAACCACCAUCCCCUUCCUUUUCUCCCCCCAAUUUUUCUCUCUCUGAUUCCAUACUGCCGACUAUUGGAUUUAAUCGUCGGAUGGCCGGCGACCACAAAUCACAACUGCUCCUUGCCACAUCUUCUUCUUUUCGCUUUUUCUCCAUUAAUAGAGAACACUGCCUUGUCAGAGAAAUGGCCAGAUCAUGACGGGUUGGUGCUUCUCCGACGUUGCUCCGGUGAAACCCAUUGAAGCAGCGUCGGCAUUUUCGUCGUUCAAAAUUUUUCUUUCUUUAAUCUUCAAUUAUUAUGUGGGUUAACUAUUAUUUCUCUCAGCAUUGCUCCG